GACGAACGCUGGCGGCGUGCCUAAUACAUGCAAGUAGAACGCACAGUUUAUACCGUAGCUUGAUACACCAUAGACUGUGAGUUGCGAACGGGUGAGUAACGCGUAGGUAACCUGCCUGGUAGCGGGGGAUAACUAUUGGAAACGAUAGCUAAUACCGCAUAAUAUUAAUUAUUGCAUGAUAAUUAAUUGAAAGGUGCAAUUGCACCACUACCAGAUGGACCUGCGUUGUAUUAGCUAGUAGGUGAGGUAACGGCUCACCUAGGCGACGAUACAUAGCCGACCUGAGAGGGUGAUCGGCCACACUGUGACUGAGACACGGCCCAGACUCCUACGGGAGGCAGCAGUAGGGAAUCUUCGGCAAUGGACGAAAGUCUGACCGAGCAACGCCGCGUGAGUGAAGAAGGUUUUCGGAUCGUAAAGCUCUGUUGUAAGAGAAGAACGGGUGUUAGAGUGGAAAGUUCACACUGUGACGGUAUCUUACCAGAAAGGGACGGCUAACUACGUG
rnacentral:rRNA from 1 species